rnacentral:rRNA from 1 species
GACGAACGCUGGCGGCGUGCUUAACACAUGCAAGUCGAACGGAAAGGCCCUGCUUUUGUGGGGUGCUCGAGUGGCGAACGGGUGAGUAACACGUGAGUAACCUGCCCUUGACUUUGGGAUAACUUCAGGAAACUGGGGCUAAUACCGGAUAGAAGCUCCUGCUGCAUGGUGGGGGUUGGAAAGUUUCGGCGGUUGGGGAUGGACUCGCGGCUUAUCAGCUUGUUGGUGGGGUAGUGGCUUACCAAGGCUUUGACGGGUAGCCGGCCUGAGAGGGUGACCGGCCACAUUGGGACUGAGAUACGGCCCAGACUCCUACGGGAGGCAGCAGUGGGGAAUAUUGCACAAUGGGCGGAAGCCUGAUGCAGCAACGCCGCGUGCGGGAUGACGGCCUUCGGGUUGUAAACCGCUUUCGCCUAUGACGAAGCGUGAGUGACGGUAAUGGGUAAAGAAGCACCGGCUAACUACGUG